rnacentral:rRNA from 1 species
UGCAAGUCGAACGGACUUAACCGAAAUAUUUAUAUUUUGGAGCGGUUAGUGGCGGACUGGUGAGUAACGCGUAAGCAAUCUGCCUAUUAGAGGGGAAUAACAGUGAGAAAUCACUGCUAAUACCGCAUAUGCCAUGAACAUCGCAUGAUGAAAAUGGGAAAGGAGUAAUCCGCUAAUAGAUGAGCUUGCGUCUGAUUAACUAGUUGGUGUGGUAAUGGCAUACCAAGGUAACGAUCAGUAGCCGGACUGAGAGGUUGAACGGCCACAUUGGGACUGAGAUACGGCCCAGACUCCUACGGGAGGCAGCAGUCGGGAAUAUUGCGCAAUGGAGGAAACUCUGACGCAGUGACGCCGCGUAUAGGAUGAAGGUUUUCGGAUUGUAAACUAUUGUCAUUAGGGAAGAUAAAAGACAGUACCUAAGGAGGAAGCUCCGGCUAACUACGUGCCAGCAGCCGCGGUAAUACGUAGGGAGCAAGCGUUAUCCGGAUUUAUUGGGUGUAAAGGGUGCGUAGACGGGAGAUUAAGUUAGUUGUGAAAGCCCUCGGCUUAACUGAGGAAUUGCAACUAAAACUGGUUUUCUUGAGUGCAGGAGAGGUAAGUGGAAUUCCUAGUGUAGCGGUGAAAUGCGUAGAUAUUAGGAGGAGCACCAGUGGCGAAGGCGACUUACUGGACUGUAACUGACGUUGAGGCACGAAAGUGUGGGGAGCAAACAGGAUUAGAUACCCUGGUAGUCCACACCGUAAACGAUGGAUACUAGGUGUAGGAUGUGUUAAACAUUCUGUGCCGUCGCAAA